rnacentral:rRNA from 1 species
UACGGAGGGUGCAAGCGUUAUCCGGAUUACUGGGUUUAAAGGGUGCGUAGGUGGGCUAGUAAGUCCGUGGUGAAAUCUCUGAGCUUAACUCGGAAACUGCCGUGGAUACUAUUAGUCUUGAAUACCGUGGAGGUCAGCGGAAUAUGUCAUGUAGCGGUGAAAUGCUUAGAUAUGACAUAGAACACCAAUUGCGAAGGCAGCUGGCUACACGAAUAUUGACACUGAUGCACGAAAGCGUGGGGAUCAAACAGG